GGAUUCGAUUAGAGUUUGAUCCUGGCUCAGAAUGAACGCUGGCGGCGUGCUUAACACAUGCAAGUCGUACGAGAACUCUUCUGCUUGCAGAAGAUAGUAAAGUGGCGCACGGGUGAGUAACGCGUAGGUAAUCUACCUUCGAAUUUGGGAUAACGUUGCGAAAGCGACGCUAAUACCGGAUAAUAUCAUCUCUUCUUCGGGUGAGAUGAUCAAAGGUGGCCUCUACAUGUAAGCUACUGUUUGAAGAUGAGCCUGCGUACCAUUAGCUUGUUGGUGGGGUAAAAGCCUACCAAGGCAACGAUGGUUAGCUGGUCUGAGAGGAUGAUCAGCCACACUGGAACUGACACACGGUCCAGACUCCUACGGGAGGCAGCAGUGAGGAAUUUUGCGCAAUGGGGGAAACCCUGACGCAGCAACGCCGCGUGAGUGAUGAAGGCCUUCGGGUCGUAAAGCUCUGUCAAGUGGGAAGAACCUACAAAGUGCUAAUAUCACUUUGUACUGACGGUACCAUUGAAGGAAGCACCGGCUAACUCCGUGCCAGCAGCCGCGGUAAUACGGGGGGUGCAAGCGUUAAUCGGAAUUACUGGGCGUAAAGCGUGCGUAGGCGGUUCGUUAAGUCAGAUGUGAAAGCCC
rnacentral:rRNA from 1 species